GGAGAGGUGCCAGAGCGGUCGAAUGGGACGGUCUCGAAAACCGUUGUAUGGGUAACUGUACCGAGGGUUCGAAUCCCUCCCUCUCCG
rnacentral:tRNA from 1 species